GCCAGGCAUGGUGGCACAUGCCUGUAAUCCCAGUAGCUCGGGAGGCUGAGGCAGGAGAAUCGCGAGUUCAAAGCCAGUCUCAGCAAUGGCGAGGCACUAAGCAACUCAGUGAGACCCUGUCUCUA
rnacentral:sRNA from 1 species